GCUCUCUGGGGGAGGAGGCCUGCGUAUACUACUAGGAGGGGAGAUUGUAUGUGAAGGAGGUUUGUUUUUGAAGGAAAUGGAAAGAUCUUUCUGAUGGAGGAAUAAGUCACAUAACAAGGCUCUCCACAGCAAGGAUACCAGCCAAUGUUUAUUGAACCUUGUUGCUCUUCUAAAUGUUCUACACCCAUCAACUAAGACCGUGACCAUCUACUGAGGCCACAGUUCCAGGCUGAAUGCUGGAGGGCAGUAUCACCUACCCUGACUUUCGGAAACUUGUAGUUUCUUCGGGGAGACAGAACUUUCACAUUAAAACAUUUGAACAGUAAUACAAGAUAAUGCAUAACUGUUCCAUCUGAACAGUGGAGAGAGAUGUGUGGCCAACCUGAAACCAUAACGUAAGAGCCUAAAGGAGGACUGGAAACUCUACAGCCCUGAACUGAACGCAGCUUGUAUCAGCCCCAGAUCGGAUAACACAACCAAACCACAAAUGCGCUGCUCAGGUCUUUAAAGUGCUCAGGCGGGGUAAGACCCAGGGUGACUCUGUGUGAUGGAGAGUCAGACCACAUCUUUUUUUUUUUUUUUAUCUUUUUCUCAUCAGACUUCACAGGAAAUAUACUUCUUUGUUCAGAUUGGAGAUAAGGUGCCCCUUCACCUUGACUCUCCUUUGCGGCACCAGCUCACCCAUUAAGUUGUUCACUUUCUAUCCUAGGCCUGCAUCAUCAUAAGCUUAUAUUUAGUAGGCCUGUGGGUUUGUACUGCCCUAAUGUUGGAAGUCAAAUAGCAGUUAAAUCUAUUAAGACAUAGUUUAUAGUCGGACUGAGAUGAUAAUCUAAGAAAAGAAGGUGAGAGCCUCCAGAGGGGCACAGCCAAGGGGGGUGGGGUUAUUUAAAGGUGGCUUAUCUUGGCAUCAGUAAUCCCCUACACUGCUGUUGUUCCAUAAUUAUUUUAGGUUUCAUGACUUUCAGCCUAACCUUGGUACCUAAUAGAGAAGAUCUAUACUGAAGUGUUGACAAUGAUUUCUCAGCAGCUGUUACAGAGUAAUAGUUUUGGCUGCCUUCCCAAGUUGACCCAUUAAAAUUUUCAAGAAAUUUGGCUUCAAGGCAUUUCUCAAGAACCCUGACCUAAUCUGAUGGGAUUUCUCCCCCCAUUCUAAGACUACUCAUUUCUAGAUCUGUUAGAAAGGGCUACAUAAGGACUGACAACAGGAGCAUGUGGGAGGAGGAGUAUGAAAACAGCUCCAUAGGUGAUGGCUUAGAACCAGUUUUCAGCAAAUUCAUCUCAUAUCCAGAGAAAGAAGGAUGCAUAGAAAUAAUAAUAAACUACCAUAACAAUAAUAAUGUCUAACAUUUAUGGAGCAUUUGCCACACACACACAUUAUCUCACUGUCCUUGUAAUAACAUUAUAAGAAAGGUACUAUUAUUAUCCCCAUUUUACAGAUAAGGAAACUGAGGCACAGAAAAAUUAAAUAAUUUGGAAUAAAUACAGUUGACCCUUGAACAACACAGCCAACAACGACUUCAGCCAAGCCAGGUUCAAACACAGGUUUGAACUGCACAGGUCCACUUGUAAGUGGAUUUUUUCAAUAAAUGUAUCGGAAAAUUUUUUGGAGAUUUGCAACAAUUUGAAAAAAUAUUUUCUUUUCUAGCUUACUUUAAGUAUACAGUACACAAAAUAAGCAUUAACUUUAUUGAUAAGGCUUCUGAUCAACAGUAGUUAACUUUUUGGGGAGUUAAGAGUUACACACAGAAUUUUGACUGUGCUGGGGGCUGGUGCUCCUAACCCCCAUGUUGUUGGAGGGCCAACUGUACUUUGCAAAUGAAUCACAGAGCUACUAGGAUUAGAAUCUAGGGAGUCCAGCUCCAGGGCUGGUGUUAAAUGCUACCAAGGUGUGUGUGUUUUAUUGGGAGGGAAUGUAGGGAAAGGUGAUACAGAAAAGGGCUAGGAAUAGAAGGGUGCCUUUGGGGCUUUGGCCUUGGCUUUCCAUGGUGAUAUCACAGGAAAGAGCCCAAGCCUAGAUGGACAAGGGCAUAUCCAAAUACCCAGAAAUGGGACAUAAUUUUGUACCUAGCCUCUGUCCCUAUUCUUUCUCUCCUUGUAGCAUCAGCCAGGUUACAGCCUAGUUUUAAACUUUUAGUAUGGGAUCUAGUUUGCCUAAGGGAAUUACUAGAGCCAUCUCUGGCUCAUGGAGCUCAAUAAUUAUGGAGCUCCAGAGUGGCCAGUAAAAGCCUGGGGGCCAGCAUCAGAUGACACUUCUGGAGGUGUGGACCUAGUGGUCCCGAGGAUCCCCUUUAGGGUCUUGAGCUACCCAGUCCAAUAAGAAAUGUCUUACAACUUCUCCCUGGUCCCAUGUCUCUACUAAUUCCAAGGGAAGGGCCCCCAUUUUCCUUUAGAUGGUUAAGAGCACAGUCUUGGAAAUCAGCCAGUCCUGGGUUUGAAUCUCACUUAGCAUCUAUGCAAACCUGGGAAAGUUAACAUCUCUGUGCCUCUAUUUUUCAUCUGUCAAAUGGGAAUAAUAAUAGAACCUACUUCAUAAGAUUGUUUGAAGGAUUAAAUAAAUGAAUCUCCAUCAGCCUCAUAAAACACACAAAGUGCUCAAUAAAUGUGGGUGAUGGUAAUUGUUUUACAUCUUGCCCCCAUUUAAGAAGUAAUUCUAACUGCCUCAAGUCCACAGUGUACAUUAUCACAUCCGGCAGGGAGUGGCCUGGUGAACAAAGGCUGUGGCCCUGCCAGGCCCUGCAGCCACAUGCUCUGCCGCUCUUGAAGAGGAAAUGGUUUCUGUACCCGGCUGUCUAGGUCAGGGCCGCUUUCUUCAGGGAAGAGCUCUGGUUACACCCAGCACCCUUGCCUGGCUCUGCCGCCUCCCUCUGUGGGAAGAAGCACAGAGAGGCACAUGCCUACCUGCCCAGUAAAAAGGGCUUUCAUGACAGACCCAGGCUCUGGUUGUGCAAAGCAUUGUUCUUGCUCCUGGGGCUGGUGAGGAGCCCAUGGAAGUCAACGCAUGUUUGGAGACUUACUGACCUGGCUGGAUGACCAUGAUUGCCUCCUUCACCUAGGAAGUGCUUGCAUUCAAGAAAAGGCUAUCCCAGGCUUGGUAGAAAGGCCCUUUAUAAGUUGACUUGGGAGCCUUGGAAGUAAAGUGUGGAGAUGACAGGGUGGGGACUAGGGGUUAUGUGUACACCUGCUCUCCAUGGCAUCUCCAGGCCUUAGCGUGGUGUUGGCUCUCUAGGAAUGGCACUACCAAACAGUGGUUGAGCACAUGGGUUCCAGAGCCAGACUACCUUCUGUGGAAUCCUGGCAUUGUUGCUAUUAGCUGGGUGACUUUUGACAAUGUCCUCAACUUCUCUGUGCCUGUUUCUCAUCUUUAAAAGGUGAUGAUAAUUAUAGUACUCAUCUCUUUAGGUUGUUUUGAAACUUAAAUGAGUUUCCAUAAAAAUGCUUAGAACAAUACCUGGCAUGUGGUAGCGUGUUAGCUGUUAUUUCCACAUGAUAGAGAUUUUGGUUCUAGGUAGAGGCUUAGAUAAAUAUGGGGGUAAAUCCAGAAUUCUAAACUAAGUCUAUUUGACUUUGAAAUGUGUUCUCUUUGAAUGCUACUACCUUGUAUGAAAAGAAUCCCUACUUUGGAUGCUUUAAGGAAAGUCCAGAUUUCAUCUUUGGGAACAUGAGUCCCCCAAAGUAGAACAAAAUUGUCAGACCUUGGAUUUUUGUUUUAGAUCUGGGAGUUAAAGUGCCCAUGGGUAGUAGGGACUCAGGAUAAUCCAGCCU